rnacentral:rRNA from 1 species
GAUGAACGCUGGCGGCGUGCCUAAUACAUGCAAGUAGAACGCUGAAGGAGGAGCUUGCUCUUUCCGGAUGAGUUGCGAACGGGUGAGUAACGCGUAGGUAACCUGCCUGGUAGCGGGGGAUAACUAUUGGAAACGAUAGCUAAUACCGCAUAACAGUAGAUAUUGCAUGAUAUUUGCUUGAAAGGGGCCAUUGCUCCACUACCAGAUGGACCUGCGUUGUAUUAGCUAGUUGGUGAGGUAACGGCUCACCAAGGCGACGAUACAUAGCCGACCUGAGAGGGUGAUCGGCCACACUGGGACUGAGACACGGCCCAGACUCCUACGGGAGGCAGCAGUAGGGAAUCUUCGGCAAUGGACGGAAGUCUGACCGAGCAACGCCGCGUGAGUGAAGAAGGUUUUCGGAUCGUAAAGCUCUGUUGUAAGGGAAGAACGAGUGUGAGAGUGGAAAGUUCACACUGUGACGGUAUCUUACCAGAAAGGGACGGCUAACUACGUG